UACGGAGGGUGCGAGCGUUGUCCGGAAUCAUUGGGCGUAAAGGGCGCGUAGGUGGCCCGGUCAGUCAGUGGUGAAAGCGCGGGGCUCAACUCCGCGUCGGCCAUUGAUACUGCGGGGCUGGAGCACUGUAGAGGCAGGCGGAAUUCCGGGUGUAGCGGUGGAAUGCGUAGAGAUCCGGAAGAACACCGGUGGCGAAGGUGGCCUGCUGGGCAGUUGCUGACACUGAGGCGCGACAGCGUGGGGAGCAAACAGG
rnacentral:rRNA from 1 species